ensembl:lncRNA
CUCAACUUAAUAAGGAAAGAAAAAAAUUAUAUGCAGAGGUGGCUAAGAUCCACAGUAACUUUUAUCACAUAAUAUCAUUAUGAUUGUUCUACUUUAUUAUUAGUUACCGUUGUUAAUCUUGUACAGUGCCCAAUUUACAAAUUAAACUUUAUCAUAAGCGUGUAUAUAUAUGAAAAAGCAUAGCAUAUGUAGAGUUCAGUCUAUCCUCGGUUUCAGGAAUCCGCUGGGGGUCCUGGAACGUUUCCCCUGUGGACAAGGGAGGUUGCCGUACAAAAUCCAGUGUCAUUUCAUAUAUUCACAAUUUUGCGCAACCAUUACCACUCUCCAGUUCCAGAACAUUUUCGUCACCACAAAAGGAACCCCUGUACCCUUUCAGCAGUCACUCCCUCCUCUCCCCCGCCCCUAGCAACCACGAAUCUUAUUUAUAUCUCUACAGAUUGGCCUAUUCUGAACAUUUACUAUAAACGGAAUAAUACAAUCUAUGGUCUUUUGAGUCUGGCUUCUUCCACUUAGCAGAAUGUUUGCAAGAUUCAUCCAUGUACCAUGUAUCAAUACUUUACUCUUUUCUAUGGCUGAAUUGUAUUCCAUUUCGUGGAUAUACCACAUUUUUUUAUCCAUUCGUCUAUUGGUAGGCAUUUCAAUUGUUUCCACUUUUUGGCUGUUAUGAAUAAUGCUGCCAUGAACAUUCAUAUGCAAGUUUUGGUGUGGACAAGUGUUUUCAAUUCUCUUGGGUGUAUGCCUAGGAGCAGAAUUACCGGGUCAUAUGGUAACUCAGUGUUUAACAUUUUGAGGAAUUCCCUGUUUCAAAGACUGCAUGUUUUUCUAUUGAUAUCAUCCUACAUCUGCUUUUUCCACUCACCAUUACAUUUUGGAGAGUCUUCCAAUUUAAUAUUUAGCUGUGGUUCAUCUAUUUCAAUGGUAGUAGAGAUGCCCUUGCAUGAACAAAACACUGUUCACUUGUCAUUCCCCUAUUGAGGGAUAUUUAGGCUAUUCCUCGUUUUCUACUACCAUAGAUAACACUGCCAAGAAGGGGGUUUCAUAGGUUUCAGUGUAUGGACCAAAUCUGCAGAGCAAGAGACCCUCACAGACCACUCACUGUACCCAUUCUUAGUUGACAGCCCCCCAAAUCUCCUAGGGUGAUGGUGCUGGGUUGUAGGUGGAGCACUGAAGUGAGCGAGCUGAAGAGAUGCGUCAGACCACGCCCCCAAAAUAACUAAAGCUCUCAGGGCAGAGGGUGGCCCGCCUAUGAUUAUUCCCAGUUAUUGGCUGCCCUCCCUGGGAGAGGAUUAUCCAUCCCUACUCCCUGCUCGGCUACCUGCGGUGCCCGCUUGGAGGAGGGCAGUACAGUCCCUGCCCUGCCCCCACCCCAGACACCAAGCUUGGCAAUGUGAUGGGCGUAGCCUCCGGAUGUGAGUGGUAACGAUGUCAGCCAUCCCUGCCUCUUCCCUCUGGCACAGGAGUGGCACAUCCCAGAUGUGAGGUCAGCUUCCUCAGCCUGGACCCUGGAAUGAAAAGACACAGGAGCAGAGCCACAACUGGUCCACAGGGACCCACAAAGAAAGCAAAGCCAACCCCUAUGGCUGUAAGCCUCUGCCAGGUUGUUGAUGUUCAUCAUCGUAGAAUAACUUAGCAAAAGCUAAUGCAAGGGGUCUCUUUCUUGUCUUUACCCCAAAUGAGCUAUCUGCAGUUUUGACCUGAACGUCCACUGGCCUAAUUUUUAAACCCUCUUACGCAUCAUUCCAACUAAAAUGCAUUUGCUGAGUUCGGACUCUGCUCAUUAUCUAUCCUAAAGCAUGGGAUUGAAAACUUGGAAAAUAAUAACAAUAGCUCACGUUCAUGAGUUUCUGCUCCUGGCCAGGCCCUGGCGCCAGCGGCAGGUCAUCUGUCCUCAUGUCACCCCAAGGCGGCGAACAUCACCACUAUCUACUUUUUAUUGAUGAAGAAAUGGAUGCUUCGAGGUAUUAAGCAACUGUCCUCAGGUAACACUUGAUCCAGCAAGAGGCAGCUGGAGGAACUGAACCUGAGCACGCGCACGCCGCUGGUCCUAUAAGACGCACAGCCCACCUCCUAUGAGCUCACAGACGCGCGGUGGAGAAAACGUCCUCCUGUGCCGCCACGGCUGUUUGUCUGUGCCCAGAACUCGGCAAAGGCAAGCCAGGCAGACAGACACAAUUCCUACCCUGGGGGAGAUGAUGACACAGAAAAAAAUUUUUUUUAAAUACUAAUUUCAUUCGAUGAAUAUAAAACAUCCAGAUUAGGCAAAUUCAUAGAGACAGAAAGUAGAUUAGCAGUUGCCAGGGGCGCGGGGUGGGAGCACGGGAAGGGACCGCUUAAAGUGUGUGAGGCUUCCUUUGGAGAUGAUGAAAAAUGUCUGGAACCAGACAGCAGUGAUGUUUGAGCAGUAUUGUGAAUGCGCUAAAUGUCACUAAUGGUAAAAUGUAUGCUAUGGGGUUUUAACCACAAUAAAAAUAGAACUAACUGUGUACAUGGGUAUCAUUGCAAUGAGUGCUGUAAAGAAAGCCUCUAGGGAGCUAUCAAGCCACAGGACGGGAGGCCUGCCCUGGUCUGGGGGAUCAGGGCUCCUCCUCAGAGGAACCCACUGCUGCCCCAAGGUCUCAGUGCCCUGGCGGAGACCCAGCAGGGGCAGGUCCCCACAUAUCGGGCCCCCGGGAGCACUGCAGACCCCGCUCCCAGCAGUUCCCACAAUUCAUAAUUACUUACUCAUGUGCAGGACGCCUUGUUAAUAACUCUUUUGCCCACUGGAAAGCAGACAUUGAUUUAGUCAGUCACCAGGUACAUUUCAAGCACAGAGCCCGUGGAGACAUGGUGGUGGGAACAGUGACAGAGUCCCUGCCCUAAGGGGGCUCCGAGCCUAGAGGAGGCACGGAUGAUGAGCAAGAAAUCAGCUCAAGCAGACUGCUGUGUGGGAGCCAGCGAAGGAAGCAAAACGAGCCCCAGAGAGAGAGAAGAGGCAGGCACCAUGGAUCCGGCCAGGUGCUGGGAAGGAAAGGAGUGAGCCAUGCACGGAGCAGGGAGAAGGGGCUCCAGCAGCAGGAACAGCAGGGACAAAGGCCUGGAGGCUGAAAAGCGUUCGGCACACUGGGGUGAUCGACAGGAGGCCCCCAAGGAUGGACUGUCAGGGGAGGAAAUCCACAGAGCUUGGAUGCAGGGGAGGGUGUGUAUCUUUUCUCUGCUGAAAAGGGAGCAUCUGGCACAGUGUCUCUCAUGCAGUACGUCUGUACUGGGAGGGAUGGAGGACAGAGAAGCUGUUCCUGCGAGCUGCAAGAUCUGGAUUCCAGUCCCAGGUCUCUUCCCACUUGCAUUACGACCGACCUCAGGCAAACCCCAGCACCUCUCUGGGCCUCAGUUUCCUCAUCUGUAGAAUGAAGGGUGAGAAACCAAAGAUCUAGCAGGGGCUGCCAUGUCUGUCCUUCCGCUCGUAUGUUGGCGAACUCCCAUGGCCUCUGCCAACAGCCCAGCCACAGGGUGUCCUGAGAAAUGGAAGAUGAGUGCAGAGGGGAGACCAGAAGCUACGCCUUUCUCACAGAAGCCCUCGCCACCCCGCUCCACAGGGAGCUCCCGGCACCUGGUCAGCCCCGUUCCUGCAGGAGGUCGGGAAGCCAGCCAAAUGCAUCCUGAAGACCCUACUCAGAGACUCUGGAGUUGGAAGAAGGGACCGUGGGGGGUCUCUGUGCAGCCCCCAGGAAAGGAGGCUCACCUUUGCCAGACAACUGGCCUAAUAGAAAGUUCUUUCAUUGAGCUGAAAUCUGCUUCUUGGAGAGUCCACCCCCGGCCUUCAUUCUUCCCUGAGGAGCCCACAGGUCCCUUUCUCGCUCCUGAAGAAAGCACAGACCUUGGAGCCACAGGCCUGCGUCUGCAACAGACCUUGCAACUGUGAAUGGCCGAUUACAUCCUUCGUGUAAGAUGAAGAUGAUGCUACUGAUGCUGCUGUUGUUAAUAUUAUUUUAGAUGAUGCCUCUUAGUGCUUACUACAUGCCAGACAAUGCUCUAAGCGGCUUUAUUUCACUUUAUUAUCACAAACAACACUGUAAGAUUGGUACUUUAUCCUCCAUUAUACAGAGAAGGAAAGUGAGGUUCAGAGACGCUAAGUAACCAGCCGAAGUUCACACAGCAAGGAAGUGACAGAAUCUGGGCGUGUAGCAGUGUCUGCCUCUCCAAGUCAUUAGCAGAACCAGCUGAGCUAGAUGACCUAGAUGAGAUCAGCAUAACUAACCUUCCCCAAGUCCUUACUGUGCUGAGCACUUGUGUGCUGUGGCAGCCGGAAGUCAGUUCUUCAGAAGGAAGCCUCACCAGCAGCCCAGGCCCGGUCCACGGAGACUCGAAAGUCAUCGGUCAAGGUGCAGCCGGGACGCGGAAAUUCUUCAAAGCUGCCCAGGGAUUCUAACGGGCAGCCCAGCUUGCGAACCACAGCCCUGAAAGCUUCUGCCCUGCUCCUCUCCACACGCCAACGAGCAACGCCAACCGAGGGUGCUCCUUGCAAAACAAGGGAGGGAUAAGUGGGGCCGGCGGUGUUAAUUUCAUCAUCUUUGUCCUCUCCUAAAACAUGACCUUUGGGUUUAUUCAGCCAAUAAAAAUUUGUGAAUUAUGCACUGUGUGUCAGACAUGCCCCGUGGAUCCAACAGUGGACAGAGGGCCUGUUCCUGCCCUCAGGGAGCACGCAGUCUAAUGGGGUAGGGGGAGGCGGGGGCACAGACAGACCAUGACAACAAAGAGAAGUUGCAGUGCCGUGGGCAUUUCUGUGGUGGGAACUGUGGGGGCCCAGAAACCAGGAUGAAGUCACGG